GACUGCUUAGCUCAGUUGGCUAGAGCGUCACAUUGACAUUGUGAAGGUCGGGGGUUCAAGUCCCUCAGCAGUCACCA
rnacentral:tRNA from 2 species